GACGAACGCUGGCGGCGUGCCUAAUACAUGCAAGUAGAACGCUGAAGGAGGAGCUUGCUUCUCCGGAUGAGUUGCGAACGGGUGAGUAACGCGUAGGUAACCUGCCUGGUAGCGGGGGAUAACUAUUGGAAACGAUAGCUAAUACCGCAUAAGAGUAGAUGUUGCAUGACAUUUGCUUAAAAGGUGCAAUUGCAUCACUACCAGAUGGACCUGCGUUGUAUUAGCUAGUUGGUGAGGUAACGGCUCACCAAGGCGACGAUACAUAGCCGACCUGAGAGGGUGAUCGGCCACACUGGGACUGAGACACGGCCCAGACUCCUACGGGAGGCAGCAGUAGGGAAGCUUCGGCAAUGGACGGAAGUCUGACCGAGCAACGCCGCGUGAGUGAAGAAGGUUUUCGGAUCGUAAAGCUCUGUUGUAAGAGAAGAACGAGUGUGAGAGUGGAAAGUUCACACUGUGACGGUAUCUUACCAGAAAGGGACGGCUAACUACGUG
rnacentral:rRNA from 1 species